UACGUAGGGGGCAAGCGUUGUCCGGAUUUAUUGGGCGUAAAGAGCGUGUAGGCGGCCAUACAGGUCCGUUGUGAAAACUCGAGGCUUAACCUCGAGACGUCGAUGGAAACCGUAUGGCUAGAGUCCGGAAGAGGAGAGUGGAAUUCCUGGUGUAGCGGUGAAAUGCGCAGAUAUCCGGAGGAACACCGGUGGCGAAGGCGGCUUCCUGGACCGACACUGACGCUGAGGCGCGAAAGCUAGGGGAGCAAACGGG
rnacentral:rRNA from 1 species